GAGCGCCGGCUGCCCUGACGUCAGCAUGGCCGCGGCCCCUGACUACCCAGCUCCCUUCUAUCCCUCGAGCGGCAGGAAUCCGUCCCCACGCCCUUUUCCUUUAAAGGGCAACGGGCCGAAGGUGGGGCGGGCGGCGCGGCUCCCGCGAUCCAUUCAGGUCAAAAGGGAGAGUGAUCAAACAGGAGAGCCGAGGGGACCUAUAUUCAGAGACUUAACCGGACACCUGGACAGACCAUUACAACUUGGGACUUUUCAGGAGAAUGAGGGAAAUGUAGUUAUUGCACCUGAGCCUCACUCCAGCUCUGAGGUCCUCUUCACUUCUCUUUGGAAGAAAAUUGGAUAUCUUUUCCUAGUUGAAAGAGUAGAGAUCUGAUUUCUCCAAGGAUCAUCGCUUUUUGACACGGGAUUAUUAGAAGCAUUCAUUCAUCUAUCAAGGAGUUUUGGGAUACUUGCCAUAAGCCAAGCCCUCUGAUAGGUGCUGGAAACAUCAAGCUCUGUGCCCAGGAAGUUCAUCCUUGGACUGCACGCAUGAACGAGUUUGCUGUCUUCCCAUUGGAUUCAGCCAGUCCGCGGUCCUGGAAGAAGAAAUACUUUCCCAGACAAAUAAAAGCUGAGGAAUAUCAUCAACAUCAGACCUGUCUUACAAAAAAUGCUAAAGGGAGUUCUUCAAUCCAAAAGAAAAAGAUGUUAAUGAGCAAAAAUAAAUCAUCUGAAGGUGCAAAACUUGCUGGUAAUUGUAAGUACAAAGAAAACACAGAAUAUUAUAACACUGUAACUUACAUGCUGUGGUGUGUAAACUACUCAUAUGUUAAGUAAAAAGACUAAAAUAUAAAUCAAUUAAAAUAAUAAUUGCAACAACUUUUCAAGACAUAGACAGUACAAUAAGAUACAAAUAGGAACAACAAAAUGUUAAAAAGCAGGUUGACACAGUUAAGGUGUAAAGGUUUUAUUAGUUUUCCCUUUGCUUCUUUGUUUAUGCAAUCAGUGUUUAGUUGUCAACAGUUUAAAAUAAUGGUUAUAAGAUAUUGUUUGCAAAUCUCAUGGUGACCUCAAAUCAAAAACAUACAACAGAUACAUGAAAAAUAAAAAGGAAGAAAUUAAAACAUACCACUGGAGAAAAUCACCUUUACUAACAGAAAGACAGGAAGGAAGGAAAGAAGGAAGAGAAGACCACAAAACAACCAGAAAACUCACAAUAAAAUGGCAGGAUUAAGUCUUUAUUUAUCAACAAUAACAUUGAAUGUAAGUGGAUUAAACUCUCUGAUCAAAAGACAUAGAGUGGCUAAAUGUAUAACAAAACAAGACUCAAUAAUCUGUGGCCUACAAGAAACACACUUCACCUAUAAAAACACAUAUAGAUUAAAAAUAAAGGGAUAGAGAAAGAUAUUCCAUGGAAACAGAAACGAAAAAGAAGCAGGAGUAUCUAUACUUGUGUCAGACAAAAUAGAUUUCAAGACAAAAACUGUUAAAAAAGAUAAGAAAGCUCAUUAUAUAAUGAUAAAGUAGUCAAUUCCUCAAGGAGGCAUAACAAUUGUAAAUAUAUAUGCAUCCAACACUGGAACACCCAGAUAUAUAAAGCAAAUAUUAUUAAAGAAAGAGAUAGACCUCAGUAUAAUAAUACCUGGACAUCCAGUAUAAUAAUACAUCCAGUAUAUAUAUAUGCAUCCAACACUGGAACACCCCAGAUCAUCCAGAUCUAAAAUCAAGAAAUAAACAUUGGACUUAAUCAGCAUUAUGGAUGAAAUGGACCUAAAAGAUAUUUAUAGAACAUUUCAUCCAACAGCUGCAACAUAUACAUUCCUUUCCUCAGCACAUAAAUCCUUCUCAAUAAUAGACAAUAUGUUUGGCUACAAAAUAAGUUGCAAAGAUUUAAAAAAUGAAAUUAUAUUAGAAUCUUUUCUUACUACAAUGGAGUAAAACUAGAAAUCAAUAACCAGAGAAAUUUUGGAAACUAUACAAACACUUUAAAUAAUAUGCUCUGGAAUAACCAGUGGGUCAAUAAAGAAAUUAAGAAGGAGAUUUAAACAUUUCUUGAGACAAAUAAUAAUGGUAACAAAACAUACAAAAAUGUAUGGGAUAUAGUAAAAAUAGUACUAAGAGGAAUGUUUAUAGCUAUAAACAUCUACAUCAGAAAAGUAGAAAAACUUCAAGUAGACAACCUAACAAUGGAUCUUAAAGAAAUAGAAAACCAAGAGCAAACCAAACCCAAAAUUAAUGGAGGAAAACAAAUAAUAAAUAUCAAAGCAGAUAUAAAUGAAAUUGAAACAAAGGAAACAACCCGAAUAAUCAACAAAAUGAAAAGUUUUUUACAAAGAUAAUAAAAAUCCACAAAACUUUAGUCAGACUAAUUAAGAAAAAAAGAGACAAGACCCAAAUAAAUAAAAUCAGAGAUUUUAAAAAAAGGAGACACAUUACUACGGAUACUGCCAAAAUUCAAAGUAUCAUUAGAGGCUACUAUGAGCAACUAUAUGCCAAUAAAUUGGAAAACCUAGAAGAAAUUGAUAAAUUCUUAGACACAUACAGCCUACCAAGAUUGACUCAUGAAGAUAUCUAAAACCUGGACAGACCAAUAACAAGUAAUGAGAUCAAACCCAUAAUAUAAAAUUUCUCAGCAAAGGAAACCACAGGAUCCAGUGGCUUCCCUGCUGAAUUUUUACCAAACAUUUAAAGAAGAAAUAAUACCAAUCCUACUCAAACUAUUCUAUAAAAUAAUGGAGGAGGGAAUACUUUCAGACUCAUUCUAUGAGGCCAGUAUUAUCCUGAUACCAAAACCAGACAAAGACAUAUCAAAAAAAAAAAAAAAAAAAAAAAAGAAGAAGAAGAAAGAAAAAGAAAACAAAGAAAACUAUGGGCCAGUAUUAUUCCUAAUGAACAUUGAUGCAAAAAUCCUUACAAAAUACUAGCAAACCAAAUUCAACAACACAUUAAGAAGAUCAUUCAUCAUGACCAAAUAAGUUUAAUCCCAGGGAUGCAAGGAUGAUUCAACAUUUGCAAAACAAUCAUUGUAAUAAAUUAUAUCAACAGAAUGAAAGAAAAAAACAUAUGAUUAUUUCAAUUGAUGCUCAAAAAGCAUUUGAUAAAAUUCAACAUCUCUUCAUAAUAAAACCUAAAAAAACUGGGUACAGAAGGAACAUACCUUAACACAAGAAAAUACAUAUAUGACAGACCCAAAGCUAGUAUUAUACUGAAUAAGGAAUAACUGAAAGACUUUCCCCUAAGAUCUGGAAUAAGAUAAGGAUGCCCAUUUUCACUGCUGUUUCUCAACAUAGCACCAGAAGUCCUAGCUAGGGCAAUCAGAGAAGAGAAAAAAAUAAGGAACAUCCAAAUUAGAAAGGAGGACAUCAAAUUAUCAUUGAUUGCAGAUGAUAUGAUCUAAUAUUUGGAAAAACCUAAAGAUUCCACUAAAAACCUAUUAGAACUGAUAAACAAACUCAUAAAGUUGAGGACACAAAACCGACAUACAAAAAUCAGUAGCAUUCUAUAUGCCAGCAGCAGACAAUCUGAAAAAGAAGUCAAGAAAGUAAUCCUGGCCAGGUAUGGUGGCUCAUGCCUGUAAUCUCAGCACUUUGGUAGGCCGAGGCAGGAGGAUCACUUGAUGGAGGAGUUUGAGAUCAGCCUGGCCAGCAUGGUAAAACCCCAUCUCUAUUAAAAAUAUAAAAGUUGUCCAGGCAUGGUGGCAUGGGCCUAUAAUCCCAGAUACUUGGGUGGCUGAGAUAUGAGAAUCACUUGAACCCAGGAGGUGGAGGUUGCAGUGAGCAGAGAUCAUGCCACUGCACUACAGCCUGGGUGACAGGGUAAGACCCUAUUUCAAAGAAGAGGAAGAAGAAGGAGGAGGAGGAGGAGGGGGAGAAAGAAGAGGAAGAAGAAGAAGGAGGAGGAGAAAGAAGAGGAAGAAGAAGAAAAGAAGAAGGAGGAGGAGAAGAAAGAGAGGAAGAAGGAGAAGAAGAAGAGGAAGAAGAAGAAGUAGAAGAAGGAGGAGGAGGAAGAAGAAGAAGAAGAAGGAAGAAGAAGGAAUAAGAGGAAGAAGAAAGAAGAAGGAGGAAGAAGAGGUAGAAGAAGAAGAGGAAGAAGAGAGAAGAGGAAGAAGAAGAAGGAGGAGGAAGAGGAAGAAGAAAAAGAACAAGAACAAGUAGAAGAAGAAAAACAGGAACUAGAAAGAAGAGGAAGAAGGAGGAGAAGAAAAAGGAGAAAAGGAAGGAGGAGGAGGAAGAGGAGAAGGAGGAGGAGAAGGAGGAAGAGGAUGACGAGGAGGACAAGAAGGAGGUAAUCCCAUUUACAAUAGCAAAAAAAGUAGGAAUUAACCAAAAACGUGAAAGAUGAAAGAAAUUGAAAGAGGACACCAAAAAAAAAAAAAAAAAAAAAAAGAAAGAUAGUCAAUUUUCAUGGUUUGGAAUAAUGAAAACAUCAAAAUUGCUAAAAUGCCCAUACUACCUAAAGUAAUCUACAGAUUCAAUGUAAUCCCCAUGAAAAUACCCAAAAUACCCAUGACAUUCUUCACAGAAAUAGAAAACAAUCCUAAAAUGUAUAUGGAACCAUGAAAGACCCAGAAUAGCCAAAGCUGUCCUGAGCAAAAGAAUGAAACUGGAGGAAUCACAUUACCUGACUUCAAAUUAUACUACAAAGCUAUAGUAAUCAAAACAGCAGGGUACUGACAUAAAAAACAGACAUAUAGACCAAUGGAACAGAAUAGAGAAUCCAGACACAAAUCCAUAUAUCUACAGUGAAUGCAUUUUUGGCAGCAGUGCCAAGAAUAUAAACUGGGGGAAGGACAGUCUCUUUAAUAAAUGGUGCGAGGAAAACUGGAUAUCCAUAUGCAGAAGAAUGAAACUAGGACCCUAUCUCUUUCCAUAUACAGAAAUCAAAUCAAAAUGGAUUAAAGACUUAAAUCUAAGAUCUCAAACUAUGAUACUACUACAAUAAAACAUUGGGGAAACUCUCCACAACACUGGGCAGGGGAAAGAUUUCUUGAGUAAUAGACCACAAGCUACAGGCAGCCGAGGCAAAAGUGGACAAAUGGGAUCACGUUAAGUUAAAAAGCUUCUUCACAGCAAAGGAUACAAUCAACAAAGUGAAGAGACAACCCACAGAAUGAAAGAUAAUAUUUACAAACUCUCUAACUGACAAAGGAUUAAUAACCAGAAUAUGUUUAAUACAAGGAGCUCAAACAACUCUACAGGAAAAGAAAAAUCUAAUAAUCUGUUUCAAAAAUAGGCAAAAGAUGUAAGUAGACAUUUCUCAGCAGAAGACAUACAAAUGGCAAAUAGGUACAUGAAAAGGUGCUCAACAUCACUGAGCAUCAGAGAUGUGCAAAUCAAAACUACAAUAAGAUAUAAUCUUAUUCCAGUUGAAAUUCCUUUUAUCCAAAAGCCAGGCAAUAAUAAAUGCCGACGAGAAUGUGCAGAAAAGGACCCGUCAUAUACUAUCGGUGCGAAUAUAAAUUAGUUCAAUUAAUAGGGAGAACAGUUUGAAGGUUCCUCAAAAAAACUAAAAAUAGAGCUACCAUAUUAUUCAGCAAUCCCACUGCUAGGUGGGAUUUUCUUCCCAAAAUAAAGGAAAUUAGUAUAUCAAAGAGAUGCCAGCACUUCCACGUUUAUUGCAGCGCUAUUCCCCAAUAACGAAGAUUUCAAAGGAAUUUAAAUGUCCAUCGGCAGAUGAAUAAAGAAAAUGUGGCACAGGACAUAAAAAGAAUAAGAUUCCAUCUUUUGCAACAACAUGAAUGAAACUGGAGGUCAAUAUAUUAAGUGAAAUAACCCAGGCACAGAAAGACAAACUUGGCAUGUUCUCACUUAUUUCUGGAGCUAAAAAUUAAAACAACUGGACUCAUGGAUACAGAGUAGAAUGACGGUUAUCAAAGGCUGAGCAGGGUAGUAGGGGGGAAAUGGGGAUGGUUAAUGUGUACAAAAAUGUAGUUAAGUAGAAUGAAUAAGAUCUACUAUUGAAUAGCACAAGAGGAUGACUACUGUCAACAAUAAUUUAUUGUGCAUUUAAAAGUAACUAAACAAGUAUAAUUGGAUUGUCUGUAACACAAAGUAAGGAUGAAUGCUUGAGGUGAUGGAUACUCCAUCUACCCUGAUGUGAUUAUUACACAUUGUCUGCCUAUAACAAAAGAUCUCAUAUACCCCAGAAAUAUAUGCACCUACUACUUACUAUGUACCCAAGAACAUUAAAAAUAAAAGUCAGUUUAGUGUAGGAAUGCCCUUGAUGAAGGAAUAAAAGUAUUAAUCUUAUUAAAUUUUGAACCUUGCAUAUUGUACUAUGUGAAGAAAUACGAAACCCACAUGACAUAUUUCUGUUGCAAACCAAGUAUGAUGGCUGUCUUGAGGGAAAGCACUUUGGCAAUAGUUGAGGCUGUGAGCAGAACUAAUUGCUUUUUUCACUGAACACCAUUUUCACUUGAAAGAAAUGACAAGACAAACCAUGGUUAUUUAGACUUGGGCAUUGGCAGACACUUCCUUUUAAAUAAAUGAAGUGUUCUUGUUACUUCAAGAGACAUAACUAACAGCAUUUGUUGCCAAUGAAAAAUUCAAGCAUCAAUUGAAUAACAGUUUUAGAAUUUUGGAAAAAUUUGUAUCUGUUGAUCUGAGCUUGGUGGCUUGCCAAUGCUUACAGAAUUUCUUAUUCUUUUUUAUUUUCAUAGAAAUAUGUACAUUAACAUGUAAUGAGUUUAUUACUGUUAUUUGAAAACAAAUUAAUAAAUAUCCUUUAUGUUUCCCAACUUUAAUUUUAAAUAUAGAACAUAUUGAAAGAUGUUUACCUCCCACAAGCAAAUGGUCUUUGGAGUCUUCUUUUUUUAAGUAUAGAAAGAUAUAUUAAAACCAAUAGAGGUUGAGAACAGCAGUUAAGAGUUACCUUUGUCCUUUGAAUAAACUCUUGAAGAGGCAUUUUGCUAAACACCUUCUUUCCAUCAUUUCUGAACUUCUCCUUCAGUGGUCUGUUUCUUUGUGUGUGUGUGUCUCUCUCUGUCUUUCUCUCUGUAUGCCUCUCUCUGUCUCUAUCAUGAGCAUUUAGGUAAAGAAAAUCUCUUUGAGCAGUUAAAUUAGGGGCAGUGUUUCUAAAAAAUAAAACAGUUUCCACUGGGCUAGGAGAUUUUCCUAUAUUAUCUGCUUUAUAGUUCCCCAAAUAAUUUCCUUCUUUUUUUAGUAACUUAAUUUUAUAUUUUCAGUGACUCCACAUGCAGGACUGUAAAAUAGGAAAAAAACAGUAUCUUACACCUAUAUGUCAUUAAGAAGGCAGAAAGAAUAAAUGGGAAAGAAACAGUCAAUGAAAAUAGAACCUACAUACACAAAAUGCAAAUGCAAGUGCCAGGGGUCAUUUUAUUUUUGUAAAGCCUGGGAUGUGUCCAUUUCCCCUGAAAUAUCUAUUCUGUGUUAUGCCGGUUACAGAUGUUGCCACAAUUACCGCUGACAGUGUGGCUUUACAGAGACUUAAUGACAAGAUGAUUACUUGGGCAGAAGAGUAACUGGAGCCCACAUACGUGAAAAGAAUGACACAGGCCCACACACUGAGAUUCUCAGCAAGUCAAUAGCGAUGACCAUUACACUUUCUAAGUGAUAUUAUCAGUAAUGCUGUCAAAUCAGCCAAGCACAGAAUAUGUUAUAGGAAGAAAGCUCUGGGGGCUGUUUUGAUAGAAAGCGAGGUUUAGGCCACUUAGAAACUAUUCCACUUGGAGGAGGCUAUCAUUUCAUUUUUACCAUAUGUAGAAUUCUGCUGUGAGUUUUAAGCCACCAAUUCCCUCUUCUAUCUGGGUAUCAUUUCCUUUUAUGUGAUAUGAUAGGAUUGGACUCCUCAGUAGUGUUCAACCAAUGCAGACUUACCAGUGAAACCUCAAUAAACAAAACAGAGAGAAGCAGAGAUGCCUGGUUUAACGAAAAGAUGAGGAAAUUGUACAUCUCCCUUUGGGUCCCUACUGAGUUUCUCCUGGUCAGCUUCUGAAAUACGGCCAUGGACCCUGAGGCUUUGGGGUAUGCUGUUUGAGAAUGAUUAGAUUAAGUGCUGUUUAGGUCCAUGUGCUUCUAGGGGCUUUGUCAGAAAUCUGAGUAAUUUCUUUUAAUUAGAGAACUAGUUGGUGUCAAGUUCAGAAAUAUAUAUAUAUGUGUGUGUGUGUGUGUGUGUGUGUGUGCGCGCAUGUGUAUUAUGUAUAUAUGUGUUUGUAUCUGUGUGUUUGUAUUUGUGUGUGUGUGUGUGUGUGUGUGUGUGUGUGUGUGUGUGUGUAUGUGUAUCCUAUUGGUUCUGUUUCUCUGAAGAACCCUGGCUAAUGGCUAAUACAAUAAGCAUAUACUAGAUGACCUGGGUGACCUUUUAUAAUUGAAUUUGAACACACGAUGUCUGGUUAUAGUGACCCAGUUUGCCCAGGACUUUCCCAGUUUUAGCACUGCAAGUCCCACAUUUCAGGAAAUUCCUCAAUUCUGGGGCAAACCAGGAGAGAGGUCACCCUGAAUUAGAGCCACCUAGCAGACACUCAGGAGGUCAUAUAUAGACCCCUAGUGAUCUGCAGACCCCAGUUAAAGUUACACACAUAAGUUUAUGUAGGAAACAGAGUCCUGCUCUGAAAAUCAAGACAACUAGUUUCCUAUUCACUGGCAGUGAGAUCUUGGGUAAGGCAUUUAAAUAAAGUUGAUUAUUAUUUGCAAAAGAAUGAAUAAGCGACUGUGCAUAUAGAGUUGCCCAUUUUGCCUAUAUUUAUGUUCCUUGCUAUGGAGGGUAAAGCCGGUUCAACAGUAGGCAUUGGUUGUUUAGUUAAGCAAAAUCAGUUGCUUUCAGCUUCCCUAUUGCUAAUUAUAUGUCAGUAGAAGUUUAUUUUAAAUAUUUAAGUU
rnacentral:lncRNA from 1 species